rnacentral:rRNA from 1 species
AGCAGCCGCGGUAAUUCCAGCUCCAAUAGCGUAUAUUAAAGUUGUUGCAGUUAAAAAGCUCGUAGUUGAAUUUCAGGCCUGGCUGGAUGGUCCGCCUUUCGGGUGAGCACUGUCUGUGGUCGGGUCCUACCUUCUGGCGAAGCGUCAUGGCCUUCACCGGCCGUGGCGGGGAACUAGGACUUUUACUGUGAAAAAAUUAGAGUGUUCAAAGCAGGCAAUCGCUUGGAUACAUUAGCAUGGAAUAAUGGAAUAGGACAAUGGUUCUAUUUGUUGGUUUCUAGGACUGUUGUAAUGAUUAAUAGGGAUAGUUGGGGGCAUUAGUAUUCAAUUGUCAGAGGUGAAAUUCUUGGAUUUAUUGAAGACUAACUACUGCGAAAGCAUUUGCCAAGGAUGUUUUCAUUAAUCAAGAACGAAAGUUAGGGGAUCGAAGACGAUCAGAUACCGUCGUAGUCUUAACCAUAAACUAUGCCGACUAGGAAUCGGGCGAUGUUGACAAAAUGACGCGCUC